rnacentral:lncRNA from 1 species
GAGACUGAGAAGAGUUCUCUGAUUAAAGGUUUCCCUUUUGUUGUGUGAAUCACUUGGUCACUUUCUUUGAUCUUGGUACCAUGCUGACUCUUAAGCACGUUACUACGUGGUAUGCAACUCUUGUUGUCGUGCUUUGUUGGGCUUCGAUGAUCUGAUGAGUCAGGCAAGUUUUGUCUUGGAUUGGCAAACGAUCUUGUUCUAGAAAAUUGAAGAACCCUUUCUGCUUCAGGGGAGGAUGGUUCCCUAGAAUGGGGUAUGAACGAGGUUGGUAUUGGUG